rnacentral:rRNA from 1 species
GACGGGGCCCGCACAAGCGGUGGAGCAUGUGGUUUAAUUCGAUGCAACGCGAAGAACCUUACCUGGGCUUGACAUCCCGAGAAUCCCCUGGAAACAGGGGAGUGCCUUUCGGGGAACUCGGAGACAGGUGCUGCAUGGCUGUCGUCAGCUCGUGUCGUGAGAUGUUGGGUUAAGUCCCGCAACGAGCGCAACCCUUGUCUUUAAUUGCCAGCAUUCAGUUGGGCACUUUAAAGAGACUGCCGGUGUUAAGCCGGAGGAAGGUGGGAUGACGUCAAGUCCUCAUGGCCUUUAUGCCCAGGGCUACACACGUGCUACAAUGGGUGGUACAAAGAGAUGCCAACUCGCGAGAGCGCGCCAAUCUCAGAAAGCCAUCCUCAGUUCGGAUUGGAGUCUGCAACUCGACUCCAUGAAGUUGGAAUCGCUAGUAAUCGCGGAUCAGCACGCCGCGGUGAAUACGUUCCCGGGCCUU